NGCAACCUUGUCAAAUUCAGUGCUUCCUUCCCCCUGGAUGUCACUGGCCAAAGUGGUUGCUAUAGUAACAGUGUAGCAGAUGGGCCCCACGGUGAUUCAGCAUGGCCGUCCGGGGACAAAUAUUUGCUGCACACAGCU
ensembl:snoRNA